UUCUAGCCCCGAUUGCAGUGAAAAUCCUUUUUUUGUUUCGCACGGCGAAGGCGGCAGAAACAAAAAAAGAUUGCAACGGAAAGCGGGACUGCCC
rnacentral:sRNA from 1 species